rnacentral:tRNA from 1 species
GGGGCUAUAGCUCAGUUGGGAGAGCGCCUGGAUCGCACCCAGGAGGUCGCCGGUUCGAGUCCGGCUAGCUCCAUCA